ensembl:lncRNA
GUGACCACUAACACGUUGAAUUCAUUUCUGUGAUUGUUUAAACUCGCAUCUCUUGUUGCGUCGGCCACUUUAUCGCUUUAAUCUGACAAAAGUCUCCGCUGUGAGACUAAUAAAGGCUUAUCUUUGUCAGGCAUUCCCCAUUGGAACAGACCCAAACGCAGAUCGAGUAAGGUGAAUAACAAAGGAUUUAUUUUCUUAGAGGCAAAUGCGGAAAAAUACUAGGAACAGGGUGGUGAGGGCGGUCCAGAAUCCCAGGAAUUACAGUUUGUGUACUACAUUCAGUCAUGCAAGAAGGAUUUUUUACGGGAUAUCUGCCACAGUCUACAAUCCUUUGCACAGCAGAUAUGAGGCAGAGGGCUCAAGCUGCAUGUAAACCGAAAGUAGUACGAAGCCCCAGUUGGAUACUGCAUGGAACAACAAGUACUUUGUGAGGAGCAGGCAGUUUGGCCUAAAGGUAAAUGAUUUGGCACGCAGCUUCAGACUGACAUGUGGGUUGCUGCUUCAUCACGGGUUCCCUACUAGUCUACAUGUAGAAGAAGACCAGACAACAAAGAGGGACGUGCACGGGUCCUCUGGUAUAAACAACAGCAUCCAGUCUGUUGUGGCGCAGGGGUUAGAGAAGGUGUGCUGGGAAGCACAAGGUUGGUGGUUCGAGUCCAGGCUGCCCCAUGUUCCAUGUCGAAGUGUCCCUGAGCAAGACACCUAACCCCUAGUUGCUCCCCGGGCAAAAAUGUGAAAAA